UACGAAGGGGGCUAGCGUUGCUCGGAAUUACUGGGCGUAAAGCGCACGUAGGCGGUCUUUUAAGUCGGGGGUGAAAGCCUGUGGCUCAACCACAGAAUUGCCUUCGAUACUGGACGGCUUGAGUAUGGUAGAGGUUGGUGGAACUGCGAGUGUAGAGGUGAAAUUCGUAGAUAUUCGCAAGAACACCGGUGGCGAAGGCGGCCAACUGGACCAUUACUGACGCUGAGGCGCGAAAGCGUGGGGAGCAAACAGG
rnacentral:rRNA from 1 species